GAGGGUCCCCCCCCGGGCACCCCUCCCCUCCCUAGCCCCCCGGCUUGGGUGUCUCCGGGGCUGCCGGUGGGGCCGGACGAGGAGGCCCUGAGCCCCCGGGGGGGGUCCCCUCCUCCUGGGUUGGCACCCGCCCCGGUGCCCCCGCGUGGCCCCAGCCCCCCCAGCCUGCCGCAGGAUCCGGCCCUCCCCAGCCUGGCAGCCCGGGAGCCACAGCAAGGGACCAACGGGGAGCCCGAGCAGGAGCCGGCCCGCGGGGACUCAGGGCACAACGGCAUCGGGGGCCUCGGGCACGGGGGGUGGCCAGCCCCCUGGGAGCAGGACCCCCCGGUGCAGGGGGAUGAGCCCAGCGACACCAUCCUGCCGGAGCCGCCACACAAAGCCAAGCCAGGCUUCGCCUUGCUGCUGGCCCGCGAUGCCCCCCACCAGCAGCUGCCCGCCGGCAGCAGCCCCCCAGCCGAGGACGAGGACCUCUCCCCCCAUGCUGUGUAGGGGGGGUGACAGCAGCACGCCCCCCCCCCCAAGCACCACCUACUGUGCCCCCCAGCACCCCCCCAGCUGGGGCUGCCCCCAGCCCCCCAUGCAUUGGCUGCCCCGCACCUCGCCCCACUGCCCCACGCUCGGUGUGGUGUUUGCAGCCCCCCCCCGCCCCUCCCAGCACAGCCUCUUGCACUGGGGCCGCUGGCCCCCUACCCCCCCCCCCCCUAUACAGCAGCUUUGGGAAGCAGCCACGCACCCCACAGCCCCGACCCACCUGUGCAGCACCGUGCUGGGGGGGACAGGGGUCCCCAGACUGGGGGGCACAGGGCCGGCAGCAGGACCCUGCCCCCCCGCGACCCCCCGCCCCCCCAGGGAGACGCAGUGGCUGUUAAAUAAAUUUUAAUGCACA